rnacentral:rRNA from 1 species
UACGUAGGGGGCUAGCGUUGUCCGGAUUUAUUGGGCGUAAAGAGCGUGUAGGCGGCCAGGUAGGUCCGGUGUGAAAACUCGAGGCUUAACCUCGAGAUGUCAUCGGAAACCAUCUGGCUAGAGUCCGGAAGAGGAGAGUGGAAUUCCUGGUGUAGCGGUGAAAUGCGCAGAUAUCAGGAAGAACACCAAUGGCGAAAGCAGCUCUCUGGGACGGUACUGACGCUGAGACGCGAAAGCGUGGGGAGCGAACAGG